GUCCUCCGAUCCCAGGUGCAGAGCCUGCAGGGAGAACUCAGACGAAAUGUAGGACUUUAAGACCCAAGCUCAGAUUCUACAACGCCCACGGGACUAAGAGGUGUGCAACCUCCCCGCACCCCCCCCAAUGUGUCAGUAUCUGGUUGGUCAUAGCACCCCAAAGGUCAAUAAGGUGGCUAUAAAACCCCUCUGAUUUAUUUCGGUGGCAAACUGGAGAUCAGAGUUACUGACCUCCCAGAGCAAGCAGCAGGUAUCCUGGGCAGACAUGGGUUAUGGAGCGUCUGGCUUCUAUGGUAUAGCUAAUCACCCUCCAGGCUAUAACGCAAGUGAGUUAUCUGUAGAGAUACCCUGCCUUUCACUGGUAUCUUGACGAUAACAGCAACUUCCUGAUUCCCUGGACCAAGGACAGUGUAAUCUGAAAGUUAGGUUCUCCUUCCCAACUUCCUCGGCAAUGUUUCUGUCAGCAUCUGGCACUGUUGGAGCUGAGGAGGUGGCUCAAUGGGCAAGGCACUUCCUGACAGAUGUGAGGACAUGAGUUCAUGUAACCAGAACUCAUGCUUAUAUGGACCUGGGCUUGGUCAUGAGCUUCUGAACUCAUAAUGCUCUGGGAGACAGAGGCGGGGAUAUCCUGAGUUAGCCUGGCAUACACAGAAGUGAACAGCGAGAGACCCAAGGUGGUCUCAAGGUAGAGAGCAAGGACCUCUGACCCCAACGUGAGUUUCUUGGCAUAUUCAUACUGGCACUAACACACACCAUAUACACACAUCACACACAGAAUACACACAGAGAAACUUUUUUUUUUUUUUUGAGGCUGCAGGGUGUGACACACACAAAAAUAAAGAAGCUAACCAAGAAAGAGGAAGUCAUGAGAUACAUAAACUCCUCCGCCCAGGAAGAGGAGGUGAAAGGGUCGAAUGAGUGAGCCUUUCACAGGGAUCUCC
rnacentral:lncRNA from 1 species